CCAUACUCAUUUAACAUUUUCUAUUUCUCUCACUCUAACUCUCUUUCUCUAUCAACUUCGAUCUCAAUCUCUACUUUUCUAAAGAUUUUUGGAUCAUUGAAAGAAUGACAUGAAAAUCAAUUUAGGUUUUUAGAGGAGAAUAGACUUACUCAAAUAAUGUAAAGGAUACCUGAUUCAAGUUGAGAGGAUAUUCCAAGGAUGCGCCAGAAGAAACUACUGAGUGAAGGGAAGCAAAAAUGACUAGAUAUUUGGAACAUUUAAUGCAAUUUUCAUAAAUGCUACCACAUAUGCUAGCAGGAUAAUACCUGAAAUCCAGGCAUGGAAAUGUCUGGAUAUUGGGCUUUUGGAAACCAAUCUCAAAGGAACAAAUUCAAUCAAUUAAGGCAAAAAAUAAGAAUUUCAACUCUUCACAUAAAAUGGCUUACAUUGGAUACAAUGUGAUGAUGUGACAAGAUAGUAUGAUAAUGAGAAUAAUUAAAAAAUAAACUUUUGUGGAUUGUUAUUUUAAGUUUCAACAAUUAUUAUUUCAUAUAUUUUUUGUAUGAUCAUUUUCUUAUAUUUAUUUUUUAAAUAAUAAAUGGUUAUUAAAUAUAUUUUUAUUUUUUAUUUAAAAAAAAUAAUAAAAACAUGAAUUACGAAACAUGUUUUUAUUUUUUAUUUAAUAAUACAAAAAAAAUAUAUUAGU